GCCGACUUAGCUCAGCUGGUAGAGCAAUUCAUUCGUAAUGAAUAGGUCGCCGGUUCGAUUCCGGCAGUCGGCU
rnacentral:tRNA from 1 species